rnacentral:rRNA from 1 species
GACGAACGCUGGCGGCGUGCUUAACACAUGCAAGUCGAACGGAAAGGCCCUGCUUUUGUGGGGUGCUCGAGUGGCGAACGGGUGAGUAACACGUGAGUAACCUGCCCUUGACUUUGGGAUAGCUUCAGGAAACUGGGGCUAAUACCGGAUAGGAGCUCCUGCUGCAUGGUGGGGGUUGGAAAGUUUCGGCGGUUGGGGAUGGACUCGCGGCUUAUCAGCUUGUUGGUGGGGUAGUGGCUUACCAAGGCUUUGACGGGUAGCCGGCCUGAGAGGGUGACCGGCCACAUUGCGACUGCGAUACGGCCCAGACUCCUACGGGAGGCAGCAGUGGGGAAUAUUGCACAAUGGGCGGACGCCUGAUGCAGCAACGCCGCGUGCGGGAUGACGGCCUUCGGGUUGUAAACCGCUUUCGCCUGUGACGAAGCGUGAGUGACGGUAAUGGGUAAAGAAGCACCGGCUAACUACGUG